CACUCUGUCCUGUCCAUUAAAGGCAAAACAGCCCAAAAAAUAAUCUUUAAAAAAAAAAGAAUAAGGAGAGUAGAAAGCUUGUUUCAAAAUUGCCAAAAGUCACUAGUGUUUUUCACCGUCACCAGGAACAACCAAGAACCGGCAGCAACGACGUUGAAAUCCGUUCAGGAGGGUUCGUCGUGUGGAGAUGAACAACUUCACCGCAACAUAGAGGACAGCAUCUACUGGCUGAACCUGCUUGCUGCUGCCCAUAUUUGAGCUAUGUACAGCACCACAACAAUAAAAGGAUCAAUAAAAGGAUGUGGAGGGCCCCAUGCCUGUCUUUGCCUUGGGCCCCAAAAUGACCAAAUCCGCCACCGUCUGUCAUACAUUCAUUUUAUAAAUGAAUAAAUGAAAGCCAUUGUGUU